UACGUAGGGUGCUAGCGUUGUCCGGAAUCAUUGGGCGUAAAGCGCGUGUAGGCGGCCCGGUAAGUCCGCUGUGAAAGUCGGGGGCUCAACCCUCGAAAGCCGGUGGAUACUGUCGGGCUAGAGUGCGGAAGAGGCGAGUGGAAUUCCUGGUGUAGCGGUGAAAUGCGCAGAUAUCAGGAGGAACACCGAUUGCGAAGGCAGCUCGCUGGGACGUUACUGACGCUGAGACGCGAAAGCGUGGGGAGCAAACAGG
rnacentral:rRNA from 1 species